UACAGAGGUCUCGAGCGUUAAUCGGAGUCACUGGGCUUAAAGGGUGCGUAGGCGGAUCCGCAAGUGCUUUGUGAAAUCCCAUGGCUUAACCAUGGAAUGGCUUGGCAUACUGCGGAUCUUGAGGUCGGUAGAGGCUGCUGGAACUCUAGGUGGAGCGGUGAAAUGCGUAGAUAUCUAGAGGAACGCCGAUGGUGAAGACAGGCAGCUGGGCCGAUUCUGACGCUGAGGCACGAAAGCGUGGGGAGCGAACGGG
rnacentral:rRNA from 1 species